rnacentral:rRNA from 1 species
CAGUCGCCGCGGGAAUACGAAGGGUGCAAGCGUUACUCGGAAUUACUGGGCGUAAAGCGUGUGUAGGUGGUGGUUUAAGUCCGUUGUGAAAGCCCUGGGCUCAACCUGGGAAUUGCAGUGGAUACUGGAUCACUAGAGUGUGGUAGAGGAUAGUGGAAUUUCCGGUGUAGCAGUGAAAUGCGUAGAGAUCGGAAGGAACAUCUGUGGCGAAGGCGACUAUCUGGGCCAACACUGACACUGAGGCACGAAAGCGUGGGGAGCAAACAGGAUUAGAGACCCCUGUAGUCCCUGUCUCUUAUAC